UACAGAGGUCUCAAGCGUUGUUCGGAUUCAUUGGGCGUAAAGGGUGCGUAGGCGGCGCGGUAAGUCGGGUGUGAAAUCUCGGAGCUUAACUCCGAAACUGCAUUCGAUACUGCCGUGCUUGAGGACUGGAGAGGAGGCUGGAAUUUACGGUGUAGCGGUGAAAUGCGUAGAUAUCGUAAGGAAGACCAGUGGCGAAGGCGGGUCUCUGGACAGUUCCUGACGCUGAGGCACGAAGGCCAGGGGAGCAAACGGG
rnacentral:rRNA from 1 species